GUGGAUUAGAUACCCUGGUAGUCCACGCCCUAAACGAUGUCAACUGGUUGUCGGGCCUUCAUUGGCUUGGUAACGUAGCUAACGCGUGAAGUUGACCGCCUGGGGAGUACGGUCGCAAGAUUAAAACUCAAAGGAAUUGACGGGGACCCGCACAAGCGGUGGAUGAUGUGGAUUAAUUCGAUGCAACGCGAAAAACCUUACCUACCCUUGACAUGUAUGGAAUCCUGCCGAGAGGCGGGAGUGCCCGAAAGGGAGCCAUAACACAGGUGCUGCACGGCCGUCGUCAACU
rnacentral:rRNA from 1 species